rnacentral:lncRNA from 1 species
UAAGUAGUGAUACAUAGAUAAUUGAAGUAUAUUAAAUAUAAAAAUUAAAUACAAAUAAUAAAAGGCAGCGAGAUAUUUUGUAUUUUUGUAAAUAUAUUUGUGAAUAGACCGAGGGGCAAUAGUGUUCGCUAGAGGCUUAUCUCUUGAAGAAGGCAUACGAUGGGUAAAUAAAUCAUUGUUGGGUAAUUGGUAGAAAAGCGCACAAUUAUUAAAUAUUUAUUUACGGUAAUGAUCAUGUAUAUACGUGCAUUAUGUCCAUAAACAAAUAGGUCGACUCCUUCCUGCAUCUAUUACUAUUACUCCAUCCGUCGACCGCUAUCCAUCAUGCUUCUAGAGUACUAAGUAAAACAGAGUAAUGCGUGGAGAACAAUGGCAUGACGUAGACAACGUAUAUCUGAUUAAUAUGAAUAGAUCCCAUUGUUUUAUCCUUAAUGGCAGAUUUUUUGAUGUGACAUGCUACCCAACAUGCAAUCUUUUGCAUGUAUGAUAAUUGAUAAAUGAUGAAUUAAGAAACACCAACAUAGUAAUAUCCAUGAACAUAAGUAACAUAAUGAUCAAUGUUCAAAAUAUACGUUCCUUAAAAAAUGUUUACCCCCGAUUCAUUUUCCCAUAUUAGCAUGACAUGGCUCCGUCUUCACCACGUAAAUACAAAUGUCAUGCACCACAUGUUAAGCGAGGCAAUUGGAUCAUACUUUUUAACAUGCUUCAUUUUUUUAUUACUCACUUAAUACAUGAGUGUGAACCGUGGACAUAACAUAUAUGUGGAAUAGAAUAUGGUGGUAGGUUUCAAAGUGGUAAAAAGUGGAGAAGAAAGUCUCGCGUCAACUAGGCAUAUCAACGGGCUAUGGAUAUGCCCAUCAAUAGAUAUCAAUGCAAGGAGUAGGGAUUACCAUGCAACAUAUGCACUAGAGCUAUAAGUGUAUGAAAGCUCGACUGAAGCUAAGUGCAUGCGCAUCCAACUUGCUUGUUCAUGAAGACCUCGAGCAUUUGAGGAAGCCCGUCAUCGGAAUAUACAAGCCAAAUUCUAUAACAAAAAAAUUCCCACUAGCAUAUGAAAGUGACAAAACAUGAGGCACUCUAUAUGGAAAAGAUGGUGCUCCUUUGAAGCACAAGUGUGAAAAAGGAUGUGGUAGCACUUUCACUUCUCUCUUUUCUCUUCUUUUUUCCUUUUUCUUUCUUUUUUAAUUUUAUUUUUUGUCUGGAGUCUCAUCCCAACUUGUGGAGGAAUCGUUUUCUCCAUCAUCCUUUCCUCACCGACACAUCUAUCUAUCUAUCUAUUCUAUUCUAUUCUAUUAUAUACUAAAAGCAAAAUACGGAUCAAAGUUGAGAAGAAAUUCCCACGUUAAUCAAAAAAUGUGAGCCCUUGAUCUUAUGGGUCUUCUAAAACUAUUAAUAUGUUACCGUUCAAUUUAUGUAACAUAAAUUGGUGGGCCUCGCAUGACAUAUUUAUGGAGAAAACAAAUAAUACAUUUUUAUCUCAUGUUACGUUAAUAUAGGAUAAGUGUUACACCAUGUGCAUGUUGCCUAGCAAAAGUAAAACACGUGUACAUCUAAAAAACCCAGCCCG